AUUUUAACUCGUAAUGUUAUUUAUUAUUAUUUUAAAAUUUGUCAAUUUUAUUUUAUAAGUUGUAACAACUAAUUUCUUGUCAAGAUAAAUAAUAGUAAGUUGAAAUGAAAAAGUAUUAGUUUUAGUGUUGUAUUUUUGUGUUAUACUGUAAAUACAUUAGAUGAGGAUCAAUUUGUUAAAGUGUUGUGAAUACUAUCAGUGAUGUUCCUCUGUGUUAACCAGCAGUUUUCAAUUUGUGUUUAACCUGACCUGAUCUCAAAGCAUGUAAUUGUUCACCAUUGUGUUGAACCCAUCUGAGCCUUUGACAGCAGUCAACAAACGUAAACGCAGUUCAAGUCUAGCGACUGUCAUUCAUUUAAAUAUUCAUGGAAUGGGGGCUUUCAGAACGAGGACAUAUUGAGAGAUGCCAUCUGUGUCCAUGUCGCUCGGUGCGGCCGAAGCCAGGAGCUCCCAUAUGUCAGACUGGAACCCGCUGGGACGUUAUGUGCUCAUCUGCUGAAGCAUCGGGCCGUCGUGAGAGCAUGUGGUACGGUGACAGAGAUGUUCCCAAGAGCUUUCGGCUAUACAGGCCUUGACUGUUGACAUCACAGCCACACCUCUACAUAAACUGACAUCAUGACUCGACCUUCAGCUAGAAAUAAAGAAUUCCGGAUGCACCCCAUUGGAAGACAUCAUGAUGCCUGCUAAUGAGCAAAGACGAAGGCUAACCAGCAUGCAUGCUCACGCCCCACUGGAAUGCUGGAUGAGUGUGUUUGUGUGUUAUAUUUGUGUGCUGUUGCCUUUGGGAGACCGCCUGCAUAACAGCAGUGUAUCUGAGGUGAUGCAUUAUGGGAUUUGGUGUCCAUGACUUUCAAUCACCCAGACUUCAGUUUUAUUCUCACAGACUCAUGAUUGAACCCUGCUGAACCCACAAAUGUAAAUAUAUAAAAUAAAUGUGUGUUAUUAACUAAAACUAAACUUCAUAACUAAAACUUCAGUAUUUAAUCUUGUUAAUUUAGAUUUAAUUAUUUAAAUGCAAUGCAAUUAUUCAGAGUUAAAAGGCAA